GACGAACGCUGGCGGCGUGCUUAACACAUGCAAGUCGAACGGUGAAGCGCCUUCCUUUUUGGUGGGUGUGGAUGAGUGGCGAAAGGGUGAGUAACACGUGGGUAACCUGCCCCCUUCUUCUGGCUAACCGCAUGAAAGUGUGGCUAAUACGGGAUAUUCUGCGUCUGUCGCAUGAUGGGUCUGGGAAAGAUGUUGUUUCGGUGGGGGAUGGGCUCGCGGCCUAUCAGCUUGUUGGUGGGGUGAGAGCCUACCAAGGCGGUGACGGGUAGCCGGCCUGAGCGGGUUGAGUGGCAGGUGUGGGAGGAGGACCGGCCACGCUGGGAAUGGGAGGCGGCAGAGGGGACUACGGCAGGAAGCGGGGAGGACUCAUGCGGAAUCGGCGAGAGAGUGACGGAGGCAUGCGGGGUGUGAGCUGCUUGUGUCAGGGAAGCAGGACUGUCUCGUCUGUGGGGGGGUUGACGGUAGCUGGAGAAGAAGCGCCGGCUAACUACGUG
rnacentral:rRNA from 1 species